rnacentral:rRNA from 1 species
UACGUAGGGUGCGAGCGUUGUCCGGAAUUAUUGGGCGUAAAGAGCUCGUAGGCGGUUUGUCGCGUCUGCUGUGAAAACCUAAGGCUCAACCUUGGGCUUGCAGUGGGUACGGGCAGACUAGAGUGCGGUAGGGGUGACUGGAAUUCCUGGUGUAGCGGUGGAAUGCGCAGAUAUCAGGAGGAACACCGAUGGCGAAGGCGGUUCUCUGGGCAUUACCUGACGCUGAGGAGCGAAAGUGUGGGGAGCGAACAGG